rnacentral:rRNA from 1 species
GAUGAACGCUGGCGGCGUGCCUAAUACAUGCAAGUCGAGCGAACAGAUAAGGAGCUUGCUCCUUUGACGUUAGCGGCGGACGGGUGAGUAACACGUGGGUAACCUACCUAUAAGACUGGAAUAACUCCGGGAAACCGGGGCUAAUGCAGGAUAACAUGUUGAACCGCAUGGUUCUACCGUGAAAGGCGGCUUUGCUGUCACUUAUAGAUGGACCCGCGCCGUAUUAGCUAGUUGGUGAGGUAACGGCUCACCAAGGCAACGAUACGUAGCCGACCUGAGAGGGUGAUCGGCAACACUGGAACUGAGACACGGUCCAGACUCCUACGGGAGGCAGCAGUAGGGAAUCUUCCGCAAGGGGCGAAAGCCUGACGGAGCAACGCCGCGUGAGUGAUGAAGGUCUUCGGAUCGUAAAACUCUGUUAUUAGGGAAGAACAAAUGCGUAAGUAACUGUGCGCGUCUUGACGGUACCUAAUCAGAAAGCCACGGCUAACUACGUG